rnacentral:rRNA from 1 species
UUAAGCGACUAAGCGUACACGGUGGAUGCCCUGGCAGUCAGAGGCGAUGAAGGACGUGCUAAUCUGCGAUAAGCGUCGGUAAGGUGAUAUGAACCGUUAUAACCGGCGAUUUCCGAAUGGGGAAACCCAGUGUGAUUCGUCACACUAUCAUUAACUGAAUCCAUAGGUUAAUGAGGCGAACCGGGGGAACUGAAACAUCUAAGUACCCCGAGGAAAAGAAAUCAACCGAGAUUCCCCCAGUAGCGGCGAGCGAACGGGGAGGAGCCCAGAGCCUGAAUCAGUGUGUGUGUUAGUGGAAGCGUCUGGAAAGGCGCGCGAUACAGGGUGACAGCCCCGUACACAAAAAUGCACAUAUUGUGAGCUCGAUGAGUAGGGCGGGACACGUGGUAUCCUGUCUGAAUAUGGGGGGACCAUCCUCCAAGGCUAAAUACUCCUGACUGACCGAUAGUGAACCAGUACCGUGAGGGAAAGGCGAAAAGAACCCCGGCGAGGGGAGUGAAAAAGAACCUGAAACCGUGUACGUACAAGCAGUGGGAGCACGCUUAGGCGUGUGACUGCGUACCUUUUGUAUAAUGGGUCAGCGACUUAUAUUCUGUAGCAAGGUUAACCGAAUAGGGGAGCCGAAGGGAAACCGAGUCUUAACUGGGCGUUAAGUUGCAGGGUAUAGACCCGAAACCCGGUGAUCUAGCCAUGGGCAGGUUGAAGGUUGGGUAACACUAACUGGAGGACCGAACCGACUAAUGUUGAAAAAUUAGCGGAUGACUUGUGGCUGGGGGUGAAAGGCCAAUCAAACCGGGAGAUAGCUGGUUCUCCCCGAAAGCUAUUUAGGUAGCGCCUCGUGAAUUCAUCUCCGGGGGUAGAGCACUGUUUCGGCAAGGGGGUCAUCCCGACUUACCAACCCGAUGCAAACUGCGAAUACCGGAGAAUGUUAUCACGGGAGACACACGGCGGGUGCUAACGUCCGUCGUGAAGAGGGAAACAACCCAGACCGCCAGCUAAGGUCCCAAAGUCAUGGUUAAGUGGGAAACGAUGUGGGAAGGCCCAGACAGCCAGGAUGUUGGCUUAGAAGCAGCCAUCAUUUAAAGAAAGCGUAAUAGCUCACUGGUCGAGUCGGCCUGCGCGGAAGAUGUAACGGGGCUAAACCAUGCACCGAAGCUGCGGCAGCGANNNNNNNNNNNNNNNNNNNGCUUAUGCGUUGUUGGGUAGGGGAGCGUUCUGUAAGCCUGCGAAGGUGUGCUGUGAGGCAUGCUGGAGGUAUCAGAAGUGCGAAUGCUGACAUAAGUAACGAUAAAGCGGGUGAAAAGCCCGCUCGCCGGAAGACCAAGGGUUCCUGUCCAACGUUAAUCGGGGCAGGGUGAGUCGACCCCUAAGGCGAGGCCGAAAGGCGUAGUCGAUGGGAAACAGGUUAAUAUUCCUGUACUUGGUGUUACUGCGAAGGGGGGACGGAGAAGGCUAUGUUGGCCGGGCGACGGUUGUCCCGGUUUAAGCGUGUAGGCUGGUUUUCCAGGCAAAUCCGGAAAAUCAAGGCUGAGGCGUGAUGACGAGGCACUACGGUGCUGAAGCAACAAAUGCCCUGCUUCCAGGAAAAGCCUCUAAGCAUCAGGUAACAUCAAAUCGUACCCCAAACCGACACAGGUGGUCAGGUAGAGAAUACCAAGGCGCUUGAGAGAACUCGGGUGAAGGAACUAGGCAAAAUGGUGCCGUAACUUCGGGAGAAGGCACGCUGAUAUGUAGGUGAAGUCCCUUGCGGAUGGAGCUGAAAUCAGUCGAAGAUACCAGCUGGCUGCAACUGUUUAUUAAAAACACAGCACUGUGCAAACACGAAAGUGGACGUAUACGGUGUGACGCCUGCCCGGUGCCGGAAGGUUAAUUGAUGGGGUCAGCGCAAGCGAAGCUCUUGAUCGAAGCCCCGGUAAACGGCGGCCGUAACUAUAACGGUCCUAAGGUAGCGAAAUUCCUUGUCGGGUAAGUUCCGACCUGCACGAAUGGCGUAAUGAUGGCCAGGCUGUCUCCACCCGAGACUCAGUGAAAUUGAACUCGCUGUGAAGAUGCAGUGUACCCGCGGCAAGACGGAAAGACCCCGUGAACCUUUACUAUAGCUUGACACUGAACAUUGAGCCUUGAUGUGUAGGAUAGGUGGGAGGCUUUGAAGUGUGGACGCCAGUCUGCAUGGAGCCGGCCUUGAAAUACCACCCUUUAAUGUUUGAUGUUCUAACGUGGACCCGUGAUCCGGGUUGCGGACAGUGUCUGGUGGGUAGUUUGACUGGGGCGGUCUCCUCCUAAAGAGUAACGGAGGAGCACGAAGGUUGGCUAAUCCUGGUCGGACAUCAGGAGGUUAGUGCAAUGGCAUAAGCCAGCUUGACUGCGAGCGUGACGGCGCGAGCAGGUGCGAAAGCAGGUCAUAGUGAUCCGGUGGUUCUGAAUGGAAGGGCCAUCGCUCAACGGAUAAAAGGUACUCCGGGGAUAACAGGCUGAUACCGCCCAAGAGUUCAUAUCGACGGCGGUGUUUGGCACCUCGAUGUCGGCUCAUCACAUCCUGGGGCUGAAGUAGGUCCCAAGGGUAUGGCUGUUCGCCAUUUAAAGUGGUACGCGAGCUGGGUUUAGAACGUCGUGAGACAGUUCGGUCCCUAUCUGCCGUGGGCGCUGGAGAACUGAGGGGGGCUGCUCCUAGUACGAGAGGACCGGAGUGGACGCAUCACUGGUGUUCGGGUUGUCAUGCCAAUGGCACUGCCCGGUAGCUAAAUGCGGAAGAGAUAAGUGCUGAAAGCAUCUAAGCACGAAACUUGCCCCGAGAUGAGUUCUCCCUGACCCUUUAAGGGUCCUGAAGGAACGUUGAAGACGACGACGUUGAUAGGCCGGGUGUGUAAGCGCAGCGAUGCGUUGAGCUAACCGGUACUAAUGAACCGUGAGGCUUAACCUU